rnacentral:tRNA from 1 species
AAAUUUAAAGGUAUACUAUUUAUCAUUUUCUAU